rnacentral:rRNA from 1 species
UGAGUGCGAGCUGCUACGGCAGCGAAGUUGGUGACGUCAAGCUUCCAAGAAAAGCCCUAUACCCGUUAAGGCAUGAUUGCCUGUACCCGAAGCCGACACAGGUGGGGUGGUAGAGAAUACCGAGGGGCGCGAGGUAACUCUCUCUAAGGAACUCGGCAAAAUGACCCCGUAACUUCGGGAGAAGGGGUGCCACCGCAAGGUGGUCGCAGUGAAUAGGCCCAGGCGACUGUUUACCAAAAACACAGGUCUCCGCUAAGUCGCAAGACGAUGUAUGGGGGCUGACGCCUGUCCAGUGCCGGAAGGUUAAGGAAGUUGGUCAGCGAAAGCGAAGCUAGCGACUGAAGCCCCGGUGAACGGCGGCCGUAACCGUAACGGUCCUAAGGUAGCGAAAUUCCUUGUCGGGUAAGUUCCGACCCGCACGAAAGGCGUAACGAUCUGGGCGCUGUCUCGGAGAGAGGCUCGGCGAAAUAGAAUUGUCUGUGAAGAUGCGGACUACGUGCACCUGGACAGAAAGACCCUAUGAAGCUUUACUGUAGCUUGGUAUUGUGUCCGGGCUCUGAAUGCGCAGGAUAGGUGGGAGGCUUUGAUCCAUUGCUUGCGGGUGAUGGUGAGCCAACGGUGAGAUACCACUCUUUCAGAGCUAGGAUUCUAACGGUCACCCGUCAUCCGGGGACCGGACAGUAUCUGGUGGGCAGUUUGACUGGGGCGGUCGCCUCCUAAAAGGUAACGGAGGCGCGCAAAGGUCUGCUCAGGCUGGUUGGAAAUCAGCCGACGAGUGCAAAAGCAGAAGCAGGCUUGACUGUGAGACCUACAAGUCGAACAGGGGGGAAACCCGGCUUUAGUGAUCCGACGGUUCUGAGUGGAAGGGCCGUCGCUCAACGGAUAAAAGUUACUCUAGGGAUAACAGGCUGAUCUCCCCAAGAGUUCACAUCGACGGGGAGGUUUGGCACCUCGAUGUCGGCUCAUCGCAACCUGGGGCUGAAGUCGGUCCCAAGGGUUGGGCUGUUCGCCCAUUAAAGCGGUACGCGAGCUGGGUUCAGAACGUCGUGAGACAGUUCGGUCCAUAUCCGGUGCAUGCGCAGGAAUAUUGAGAGGAUUUCUCCCUAGUACGAGAGGACCGGGAGGAACGCACCUCUGGUGUACCAGUUAUCGUGCCAACGGUAAACGCUGGGUAGCCAUGUGCGGAGUGGAUAACCGCUGAAAGCAUCUAAGUGGGAAGCCCACCUCAAGAUGAGUAUUCCCAUGGCGUUAGCCAGUAAGGUCACGGGCAGAACACCCGUUGAUAGGCUCUACGUGGAAGUGCAGUAAUGUGUGAAGCGGAGGAGUACUAAUAGACCGAGGGCUUGACC